rnacentral:rRNA from 1 species
UGGGGAAUCUUCGGCAAUGGGCGAAAGCCUGACCGAGCCAUGCCGCGUGAGUGAAGAAGGCCCUAGGGUUGUAAAGCUCUUUCGCUCGCGAAGAUAAUGACGGUAGCGAGUAAAGAAGCCCCGGCUAACUCCGUGCCAGCAGCCGCGGUAAUACGGAGGGGGCUAGCGUUGUUCGGAAUUACUGGGCGUAAAGCGCGCGUAGGCGGACUGGUCAGUUGGGGGUGAAAUCCCGAGGCUUAACCUCGGAACUGCCUUCAAUACUGCCAGUCUAGAGUUCGGAAGAGGUAAGUGGAAUUCCCAGUGUAGAGGUGAAAUUCGUAGAUAUUGGGAAGAACACCAGUGGCGAAGGCGGCUUACUGGUCCGAUACUGACGCUGAGGUGCGAAAGCGUGGGGAGCAAACAGGAUUAGAUACCCCCGUAGUCC